rnacentral:lncRNA from 1 species
CACGCCCCCACCCCGAAUGCCUCUCUUCGAUUGGUUGAGUUCUUGGCUCUGACCUGGACGGUGGCCAGAGCAGGACAAGUGGCUUCCAUACUUAACGGGAGCGCUGAUGCGGGAGGCCUGGAGAUUGUACAACCUCUAGUCCACCGGCGGCCAGACUUGGGGACGUGACGCUGCUGGUGGCGGCGGAGAGGAACCAGUAGCAGCGUCUCCAAGCCUGCUGAUGGCGCUGAGAUCCUGCUGCUUUCUGCCUCAGUGCUAAUUAAUAUCCUGGACGUUAUCAAGAAGAUAUGAGAGAUGACAUCAAAUUCUGGUGAAGAAGGAAGAGCUAGCACAUGGAGGGAUCAGUGUUUCACAGUAGUUUUGAAAGAGGGUGGUGACAGAAGGGAAAAGAGGUUAUCUGGAGGGGAUUCAGAAUUGGCAGUGAGGGUCAAUUUAGGAGACAUAGAUUGUGACCAUAAAUAUUAAAGAGGAGGAUUCUUUUUGACACUGAGAUUUUUCUGCAGUGCUACAGUGGAGGAAACAUCCAUAGACAUCGUGGACAUUAUUUAGCUCCUGGGAUGAGAAGAGAGCCUGCUGUUGCUGAACAGGCGAUGAGAAUGCAUUGUGCUUUUUUCUUUGGGAAUAUUUGAAUAUCUCCUCAAUGCUGAAACCAGAUCAAAAAUACAGAUUGUGAUAGCAAAGCGGUCUGAGUCAUGAGCUCAUGGUCUUAUCAAGUCCCCGAAUUGCCUACACUGUACUAAAACUUGCAAUCCUCCUGCCUCAGCCUCCCAGAAUACUGGGAUUACAGGUGUGCACCACCAGAUGGCCAAAUUUGACCAUAGAAUGGCAGUAAUCACUGAGCUCCCCUUAAAUAUAAACUACAAAGAUUCCAUUUAUAUUAAUUGGGCCUUAAAGUAAUGACUUCGUACAAAUAAAAACAACUAGUUAACAUCAUAGGCCUGAAUUUGAGGAAAG